CAACUUUCAACAACGGAUCUCUUGGUUCUGGCAUCGAUGAAGAACGCAGCGAAAUGCGAUACGUAGUGUGAAUUGCAGAAUUCAGUGAAUCAUCGAAUCUUUGAACGCACAUUGCGCCCUUUGGUAUUCCAAAGGGCAUGCCUGUUCGAGCGUCAUUUGUACCCUCAAGCUUUGCUUGGUGUUGGGCGUUUUUGUCUUUGGCCCGCCAAAGACUCGCCUUAAAAUGAUUGGCAGCCGGCCUACUGGUUUCGCAGCGCAGCACAUUUUUGCGCUUGCAAUCAGCAAAAGAGGACGGCAACCCAUCAAGACUCCUUCUCAC
rnacentral:rRNA from 1 species